ACCCACGCGCGCCCGACUCCUUCCCAGUGCCCUAACCGGCGCCGCACGAGUGGUUCUCCUUUUAUUCCUCUCUAUUCUCCCAAUCCUCUGCCCUAACCACAUUGCGCCGCACACCCGAAGCCCUUUUCUUUUCUUCUCCCGAGCGCCAGCCGCCUCAUCUGUGCUGGUCACCGCGCGCCCUAGCCUUCCGUCAAGUGCCGCUCCUCCUUUUCCCCAAGCGCCGGCGACGCUCACUCCAUCGCCGGUUCCCUACUCUGUGCUUGUGCCCUAGCCUACCUUGCCGACGCUGGUGAGCGCCUUGCUGCGAUCUUUGCUAGUGUUGUCCGAGACUAGUGCCUCGGUGACGGCGAUUUGCCACCGCCGACGCUCUCCCUUCUGCCCUCUGUGCUGCUAGAGCCGACCAUCACCGAAGGACCUCACUGUGCCUUAGUCCCGAAACCGCCGCCGGCCAAUUUCUCCUCUGUUCUAGCAUCGGCGACUGUACCUCCUUCCCUCUCUUAGCGGACAACUAGAGUCGCCGGAAAACGAGAGCUCAAGAAGGAGACUGAGGGUAGCAGGAGUCCGGCAGUGGGAUUGAAGGGUCCUGAUCUUCAGCAGCCGACAUUUCCUUAUUUCAACAUUUACUCUUUGAUUUUUCAGCAGCAAGAACGGUUGUGGAACUUGAGGUCUUUGACGUGAGACGGGUAUCUCGAUUAUCGGAUUGGACCAUUUCUUAUUGGAGG